AUGCACCAUCAAAUAAUCAAAAGUCGGAUAUACCGAACAUGUCAUCAUACAUCAAAUAAGCAUAUAAAUAUGCACACGGAAGCUGAUACAGCAUCGUCUAUGCCAUAUAAAAGCAUAUACAUCAACAAAAUAAUCAUGUCAUAUUAUAAACAUAAUCCACAUAAUUAUCAGGAUAAACAAGUAUGCUAUCCUAAUCAAAACAACAAAAGCGCUCAUCCCGAGUGUUAUGCUAUCAAAGCAGAGCGACUCAAAAAGUAA